ensembl:lncRNA
GCUUAAUUAACCUAUGUAUGGAGACUUUUGGGACACCUGUACAAUAGCAGAUACACCAAAAUGUCUUUCUAAGUCAUUUCUUUAUAGGUUACUCGAGUCAUUUUCCAAAUAGGUAUAUUUAGUUUUAGUCAAAUAUUGGGUACUUUAUACAACUCCUGGACAGCAUUAAAGUGCGCCUAUUAUGGUUUUGAAAUGUGCCUAAUUUUGUUUUAAAGGACUCAUACAAAAGAUUUACAUGCAUCCAAGGUCAAAAAACACUAACAUGCUCAUAAUUUAAACUGCAGCAUUAUCUUUUCCUGACCAAAGUCACAAACGACUGAUCCCUUCUAAAGGAUUCGUUCUAAACUCCUCCUUUCAGAGAGCAUACUAUGCUCUGAUUGACCAGAUGUCCCAGUCUGUUGUGAUUGGUCUACCGCUGUCAGUAUGAUUCAAAAAGGAAACGCCCACUACCAUAACAACUUUCAGCUCCGUCUGUCAGCGAGCAGGUGAUGAAGACCAAAGGUGGGGUUUUUUGUCACAAACCUACGUAUGUUAGUACAGGAAGUAAGUCUGGAAUCACUAACGACUCGUUUCAGCUGUUCACAAUCGCUUCCUUCUUUUGGGAAUCAAGAACUCUGUCGUGCACUUUGAUUUAAAAAUUUUGCAGACUUUUUACAAUCACAAACAGCUCUAAAACACUACAUGAAAGGUAAUAUCUGAAAAAAUAAUUGCACUUUAGAGGUGUACAGGUGCACUUUAAAGUCACUUCUGCCAAAUGAAUAAAAUGCACACUAAAAUUCAAAGAUGUCUGAUUUUUUUUAAAACCCACAAGAAACUGGUCAAGUAAGAUUAACGCAAUUAAUGCACACGUGUAUCUGGUGCUCAGGGACUUGGCCAUAACUCAUGACUCUCACCGCGGAUUUGGAUAAUUUUUUGGAAGUCUUUACUCAACACCCUGUUGCUUCCGACUAAUCAAACACUUAACCCAGUAUAACACAAAAACAUCACACACCUGCACUUUACAAAGCUGCAAUAACUUAUCAUGGAACUUGUUUUUGCUGCAACAAUACAAAUAAUACACAGUUUACAGUCCACGUCCAGUGACAGUCCACAUCCAGUGUAUUUACUGUCCACGUCCGGUGACAGUCCACAGCCAGUGUAUUUACUGUCCACGUCCAGUGACAGUCCACAGCCAGUGUAUUUACUGUCCACCUCCAGAGACUGUCCACGUCCAGAGACUGUCCAUGUCCAGUGUAUUUACUGUCCACGUCCAGUGACAGUCCACAGCCAGUGUAUUUACUGUCCACGUCCAGUGACAGUCCACAGCCAGUGUAUUUACUGUCCACCUCCAGAGACUGUCCACGUCCAGAGACUGUCCAUGUCCAGUGUAUUUACUGUCCACGUCCAGUGACAGUCCACAGCCAGUGUAUUUACUGUCCACCUCCAGAGACUGUCCACGUCCUGAGACUGUCCAUGUCCAGUGUAUUUACUGUCCACGUCCAGUGACAGUCCACCUCCAGAGACUGUCCACGUCCAGAGACUGUCCACAUCCAGUGUAUUUACUGUCCACGUCCAGGGACUGUCCCCGUCCAGUGUAUUUACUGUCCCCGUCAAGUGACUGUCCACGUCCACUGUAUUUACUGUCCACGUCCACUGAAUUUACUGUCCCCGUUCAGAGAAUGUCCACGUCCAGUGUAUUUACUGUCCUGCACUCAUCUCACACUGCUGUGUAUAGCACUUUAUGUAGUCUUGUGUACAGUUCUGUGUUGCAUCUGGUCCUGGAGAAGUGCUCCAGUGUAUACAGGCUAUACAGAGGAAUGACAAUUAUUUACGAAUGACUUGAAUUGGGAAUCAACUCUUUUUAUAGUUUUGCCCCCAAACAGCAUCUUUCUAAUCUCUGGGACAGCACUGAUGCACAAAAGCGAAGUUAUUGAAUGAACUCGAGCUACCUUCAGUAUGAAAAUGUUUCCGUUAGUUGGCUGUUGCUGUCUGCGGCUACAACGAGCACGAAAUGGAUGAUGAACCGCUGAUAAACAUCUCGAGCGGUCUGAAUCAAAAAAGCUUACUACUAAAACUCGGUGUGGUUUCAUUAUCGCUAACUUGUUGCCUCGAUUAAACGUCCCAGUAGCUAACUGACCGUUACAGAUCACCGUACAGUACGAAGUUCAACACAAGCACACGCGUCUCUUUGUAACUGUCUACGUAAAUACUUGUAGCUAGCGAGCUAACCGCUCGUGCACGAGCAACAAGUCUCAGCAAACAAGUCAUGUUUCCAGUUAGCACAUAGCUAAACAGCGGAACAACAAAGUUUGUGUCCUCCUGACGAAGCUCAGAGAAAAACAACUCACCUGUGUCGAACCUCUACCGAUGGACAGGACACCUUGCAGGCUGUGUGCGUUAUAAACAAGAAAGAAAAGGCAACGCGGGGAAAAUAUAAAUUAAACGCGAUAUUAUGAGGAAAACUGCGGUUUAGUGCGCGGCGCUGCUGCUGAAUGGCCACAGGAAAGUAUGAUGACGUCACUCCACGCGUCAUACACGCCCUCCUGCAGCCUGACUGAAGUGUUUUCCUG